AUCAGGCUGCUCAAUAUAGGCUACGUCCGUGUCGGUUACAAUUUAAAAACACAAAAUCCACGGAGUGUUUUUACAAUCGGUUGUUAUUUUACACUAACUUUUAAAUAGAACGACAAUGUAGCUAUAUAAAACGUUGUAAAUAUUAGCGAUAACCUUUAUAUGAGAAUAAAAGUAAGAUUUACCUCUUUUGCGGUGUUUUGACGUUAAACGCUAAACGCGGAGAAAACCAGACGUUAGGGGUGGCUGAAAGCGCGUGCGUACGUAGGUUACCGGACUCUUUUCCCUGUUUUUUCUAAAAGAUGCAUUGUGUUACCUGCGGGAUAUGGAAUCUUUAUGGGGCCCACUGUGCGAGGGAGACAUUGAAGAGGCUGAUGGAGUGCUACAGGUGUUCUGUCCCUGGCAUGAUUAUGACUUCAACAUCAGGACAGGAAAGUCACAGACAGGUUUACAGCAAGAAGUGUAUGAAGUAAAGGUA